GUGCUCGCUUUGGCAGCACAUAUGCUAAAAUUGGAACAAUACAGAGAAGAUUAGCAUGGGCCCUGAGCAAGGAUGACACGCAAAUUCGUUCCAUAUUUUU
ensembl:snRNA U6 U6 spliceosomal RNA